rnacentral:lncRNA from 1 species
CAAGGUAAUAAUUAAUUUAUUUAGAAUAAACAGGAAUUUGAGGAUGAUUUUCUUCUAUAGGAACCAUAGUCACAUGUUUGAAUAUUUCUCUCAUUUGUCCAUUGUGACUAUCUCUUCUUUUCUCAACUUCCUCAAAUCCCUCUUCUUCUUUCUCUUCUUCACCAAGCUUGUCACUCUCACUUACCUCUUCUUCAUCACUGUUAAUCUCAAUAACUUCCACCUCUG